CAAAGAAUAGUUUAGUUCUAGAAUCCUAGCUUUGGGAGUUAGGGGUAGGGGUUAGAAUCCCCUUUCUUUGA
rnacentral:tRNA from 1 species